UCUCUUUGUGUCCAAAGCACCAUCAUGUCAAAUUGGACGAACUGACUAAAACAAAAGUUUAAAUAAAUUGUACGUGUCAUGACUCAAAAUUGGAAAAUCCUCUUCGAAUAUUCUGUACAAUCCACUUAGUCAAGUAUCAUAGUGUGAUACAUGGAAUAGUGAUGAUGGCGUUGCUUGCUUCAUUCAAAAAAAUAAAAACAGGGAAUGGAAGAUUGCUUGGAGGUGUUAUGUAAAUUGGCAGCUGGUAUUCACCGAAUCGGAAUUCAGAGAUGGGGUCGUCUCAUCCAAGUUCGAAG